CCCGGCCCCGAAUCAGGCUCACCUUAUCCAUGCAGGAAACCAGCAGCUCACCGCACACACUCGCACGGGAUGGAGGGAUGAAAGAGGGUAGCUGCGGCAGCUCGUCGACGGCGGCCGCGGCGGCUCCGUGGAGGGAGCCAGAGGCCCGGCGACGCCAUGGACGCGCCUGCGACGGGGGGCGACGCCGUGGGAGUCCUCCCCGAGGGCGUUCUCCCGUCGGCCAGUGGGGGUCUCGCCCUCCAUGGGAUCUCGCCGCGGUUGGAGGUGUGGACGGUGUAGAUGCUGCUCACGGAGGCGAGCUCGUGCCGGUGGCUGCCGCAGUGGCAUGCCCGGAGACCGCGGCGGAGGAUCUCCUCCGGGACGCUAACCAGGCAGGGGUUGCCGUGGCGGCGCGCUCAAGCGCUCAUGCUUGGGGCGGCUCCGGCGACGCUUGAGGAGCUGCGCAAUUGCAGAGUGCAGGCGGUCGUCCGGGGAGCGCGCGCCGUCAGUGCUGGCGGAGAGGAGCGGCGGCAAAACGACGCGUCUACCACGUGAGGCUCGGGUUGCCGGUAAGGCCGCGGCUGCGCGUGCAACAUCCUCCAGACGGCGCUGAACAGGGCAGGCACGGGUGAACGAGGAGGCCGCCUUCAUCCCAGCGAGAUCCAGUGUCCCCGCAGCCACCGUACGUUGGAGUGUUGUGGCAGCUCGCCGGGAUGGCUCGCGCCGAUGCUAGGCGCGGUCGCUGGUCUCCAUGCCCAAUGGCCAGAGAUGGCUCGCGCUGCUGCUCUGCGCGUUGAUGGUCUCCCCGCCCGGUGCCAGGUUGGCCCAGCUCGGCGUGCCCCUGUGGCCGUGUUCCUAUUCUGCAACACUACCAGCAAAAGGAGCAAGCCGGGGCGUUCAACAAUUGUUCAAUCUUGUACUUCAUCCCCUCUCCAUGCUUCGACCCGCCAAAUCCCAUCAGGAAACUUUUUUUCAACGUGGACAGUGCUUUCAACCCCUAUGUCAUUCCCUCCCAAUGAUUCAUUUGAUCAUGCCGUGCAUGAAUGCCUGUUAAGAAUAUUCAUGAGAUGCCUGUUUAGAACAUUCAGGUAAUGCCGAGUGAGCAUAUUCCCUCUCUUCACGUUGCUACUGAUGUAUGCGUAGUGGCCAUUGGCCCAUGAAUCAACCAUUUUACUUUCCGAUUCAAUGAAUUCUUAAGAUGCAACUGUUUCAUGGACACUUACACGCAUUUUUUCUGAUGUUA